UACAGAGGCCUCGAGCGUUAGGCGGAAUCACUGGGCUUAAAGCGUGUGUAGGUGGAUGCCUAAGUACCUUGUGAAAUCCCACGGCUUAACCGUGGAACUGCUGGGUAUACUGGGUGUCUUGAGCCACUCAGGGGCUACCGGAACAAGCGGUGGAGCGGUGAAAUGCGUAGAUAUCGCUUGGAACGCCAAUGGUGAAAACAGGUAGCUGGGGGUGUGCUGACACUGAGACACGAAAGCCAGGGGAGCAAACCGG
rnacentral:rRNA from 1 species